UUAUGGGGUCGGGGUUAGGGUUCAGAUUGGGAUUAACAUUGGGAUUAUGGGAUUGGGGCUAUGGGGUCAGAAUUGGGGUUAUGGGGUUGGGGUUAGGAUUGGGAUUCAUGUUGGGAUUAUGGGGUUGGGAUUAUGGGUCAGAAUUGGGGUUAUGGGAUUGGGAUUAGGAUUGGGAUUAACAUUGGGAUUAUGAGGUUGGGACUAUGGGGUCAGGUGAUGGGUUCAGGAUUAGGAUUGGGAUUAACGUUGGGAUUAUGGGGUUGGGGUUAUGGGGUCAGAAUUGGAGUUAUGGGGUUGGGGUUAGGAUUGGGAUUAACGUUGGGAUUAUGGGAUUGGGGUUAUGGGAUCAGAAUUGGAGUUAUGGGGUUGGGAUUAGGAUUGUGAUUAUGGGUUUGGGGUUAUGGGGUUGGGGUUAUGGGGUCAGAAUUGGGGUUAUGGGGUCGGAGUUAGGGUUCAGAUUGGGAUUAACAUU
rnacentral:lncRNA from 1 species